rnacentral:lncRNA from 1 species
CUCUCGGGAAGAAGCAGGAACCGAAGGAAAAUCUCAAGCAAAGUAAAACCUCUGAAGGAGGGGGGCGGGCUUAAAUAGGCCUCUGGGUCCGGUGCAAUGAUGAUUGCAGAUCUCUUUUGGUCGAUCUGUAAUUGCUGCGUGUCCCACUCGUCGUGGCAGGCGGCUGACAAUUGAUAGAAUCAUUAUUACAUCGUACCUAGAGCAACGUUCCAGCGAGAAUUCCAAAAAAAUCUUUUCGGGUUACCUCGAUUUGAAAAGACUCCCGCACC